UGGGGAAUCUUCCGCAAUGGACGAAAGUCUGACGGAGCAACGCCGCGUGAGUGAAGAAGGUUUUCGGAUCGUAAAACUCUGUCUUUUGGGGCGAACGUGAGUAUGGUGAACAAUCAUAGUCAGUGACGGUACCAAAGGAGGAAGCCACGGCUAACUACGUGCCAGCAGCCGCGGUAAUACGUAGGUGGCAAGCGUUGUCCGGAAUUAUUGGGCGUAAAGAGCGCGUAGGCGGGAUAGUCAGUCUGUUGUAAAGUGCGGGGCUCAACCCCGUGAUCGCAAUGGAAACAGCUAUUCUUGAGUGCAGGAGAGGAAAGUGGAAUUCCCAGUGUAGCGGUGAAAUGCGUAGAUAUUGGGAGGAACACCAGUGGCGAAGGCGACUUUCUGGACUGUGUCUGACGCUGAGGCGCGAAAGCCAGGGGAGCGAACGGGAUUAGAUACCCCGGUAGUCCUGGCCGUAAACGAUGGGUACUAGGUGUGGGAGGUAUCGACCCCUUGCCGUGCCGGAGUUAACGCAAUAAGUACCCCGCCUGGGGAGUACGGUCGCAAGACUGAAACUCAAAUGAAUUGACGGGGUCAUAGCUG
rnacentral:rRNA from 1 species